AAUCGCUGCUUGCUUUCUCAUGGGAAGAAAGUGUGUGAACAGCUCGGAAAGGCAGCAGAGCCUUUGCAUCUGUGUCAGGGCAAACGAAAGCUGGCAGUCAGGUGGUUCCCCGUCUCACAAAAGGAACGACUUGAGUAAGUAUGUAAGCAAAUAGAACAUGGAUCUACAUCUGCUGGUGUCCAAAUACACCCCCUCUGAAAUCAGCUCUCUGGCAGUCAGGCAAAAUCCAAAACAGAAGACAGCAUCAGGCAAGAACAAACAAUUUGCUUUGGAAACAGUGACCCUGAGUUGCCCGAACAUUUUUGUAUUUUUCUUUUCUGGAGAUCAGUCAGGUUGAGAAAAAGGCAAGAGUAGGGGCCUGAAUGUCCAUCUCCUGGUGAGCCACCAUACUGAUGAGCCGUGUACUGCAACCCAGAAGCUCACUUUCUCUGCAGCCUAAAUGUAAGACACUUCACUGAAUGUUGGAGCUCAGUCUAUAUUACCUUUCUGACAGAUGCCAAAAAAGGCAAGAGAAAAAUCCCUAACACACGUACUUGUUCAUCUUCCCUGUCCUUCCCUCCCUCAGUACUUGUGUAUAUGCAUAAAUGCUAAAUCCAAAAAUUGCUUAUGGAAAUCCCAUCACCAAAGGAACUUAGAAAAGAAUA